AUAGUACUCCCUCCGUCCGAAAAUACUUGUCAUAAGAAUUGAUGUAUCUAGAUAUAUUUUAGUUUUAGGUGCAUUUUUUAAUCCAUUUGUGUGAAAAAUAAUUCCGGACGAAGAGAGUAUCGU
rnacentral:pre_miRNA from 1 species